AUUGAACGCUGGCGGCAUGCUUUACACAUGCAAGUCGAACGGCAGCGCGGGCUUCGGCCUGGCGGCGAGUGGCGAACGGGUGAGUAAUACAUCGGAACGUGCCCAGUGUUGGGGGAUAGCUCGGCGAAAGCCGGAUUAAUACCGCAUACGACCUGAUGGUGAAAGCGGGGGAUCUUCGGACCUCGCGCGAUUGGAGCGGCCGAUGGCAGAUUAGCUAGUUGGUGGGGUAAAGGCCUACCAAGGCGACGAUCUGUAGCUGGUCUGAGAGGACGACCAGCCACACUGGGACUGAGACACGGCCCAGACUCCUACGGGAGGCAGCAGUGGGGAAUUUUGGACAAUGGGCGAAAGCCUGAUCCAGCAAUGCCGCGUGUGUGAUGAAGGCCUUCGGGUUGUAAAGCACUUUUGGCGGGAACGAAAAGGACUGUGCCAAUACCACGGUUCGAUGACGGUACCCGAAGAAUAAGCACCGGCUAACUACGUG
rnacentral:rRNA from 1 species